CACAAUUCAAUUCAAUUCAAUUUUAUUUGUAUAGCACCAAUUCAUAACAGAAGUUAUCUCAGGACACUUUUCAAAUAGAGCAUGUCUAGACCGAACUCUUUAACAUUAAUUACAGAGACCCAACAGUACCACCAUGAGCAAGCACUUGGCGACAAGGGCAAGGAAAAACUGCCUGUUAAAAGGCAGAAAUCUAGGACAGAUCCUCCGGCUCUAGGUGGGUGGUCGUCUGUCUCGACCAGUUGGGGUGAGAGAGAGAGAGAGAGAGAGAGAGAGAGAGAGAGAGAGAGAGAGAGAGGCAGAGA